UUGUAAAGCACUUUCAGUCGUGAGGAAAGUUAGUAGUUAAUAACUGCUAGCUGUGACGUUAACGACAGAAGAAGGACCGGCUAACUCCGUGCCAGCAGCCGCGGUAAUACGGAGGGUCCGAGCGUUAAUCGGAAUUACUGGGCGUAAAGCGCRCGUAGGUGGAUUGGUCAGUCAGAUGUGAAAGCCCAGGGCUCAACCUUUGAACUGCAUCUGAUACUGCUAGUCUAGAAUACAGUAGAGGGUAGUGGAAUUUCCUAGUGUAGCGGUGAAAUGCGUAGAUAUAGGAAGRACACCAGUGGCGAAGGCGACUACCUKGMYUGMUAUUGACACUGAGGUGCGAAAGCGUGGGGAGCAAACAGGAUAGAUACCACUGGUAGUCCACAGCCGUAAACGAUGUCUACUGAGCCGUUAGGAGACUUGAUCUCUUAGUGACGAACUAACGCGAUAAGUAGACC
rnacentral:rRNA from 1 species